rnacentral:rRNA from 1 species
UACGAAGGGGGCGAGCGUUGUUCGGAUUUACUGGGCGUAAAGGGCGCGUAGGCGGCGCAAGAAGUCAGGCGUGAAAGCCCCGGGCUCAACCUGGGAAUUGCGCUUGGGACUCUUGGGCUCGAGUUCGGGAGAGGAGCGUGGAAUUCCCAGUGUAGAGGUGAAAUUCGUAGAUAUUGGGAAGAACACCGGUGGGCGAAGGCGGCGCUCUGGACCGAGACUGACGCUGAGGCGGCGAAAAGCGUGGGGAGCAAACAGG